rnacentral:rRNA from 1 species
GAUGAACGCUGGCGGCGUGCCUAAUACAUGCAAGUCGAGCGAACAGACGGGGAGCUUGCUCCUCUGAUGUUAGCGGCGGACGGGUGAGUAACACGUGGAUAACCUACCUAUAAGACUGGGAUAACUUCGGGAAACCGGAGCUAAUACCGGAUAACAUGUUGAACCGCAUGGUUCAACAGUGAAAGACGGUCUUGCUGUCACUUAUAGAUGGAUCCGCGCCGCAUUAGCUAGUUGGUAAGGUAACGGCUUACCAAGGCAACGAUGCGUAGCCGACCUGAGAGGGUGAUCGGCCACACUGGAACUGAGACACGGUCCAGACUCCUACGGGAGGCAGCAGUAGGGAAUCUUCCGCAAUGGGCGAAAGCCUGACGGAGCAACGCCGCGUGAGUGAAGAAGGUCUUCGGAUCGUAAAACUCUGUUAUUAGGGAAGAACAAAUGUGUAAGUAACUAUGCACGUCUUGACGGUACCUAAUCAGAAAGCCACGGCUAACUACGUG